CGGACGGGUGAGUAACGCGUGAGUAACCUGCCUUACACAAGGGGAUAGCCGUUGGAAACGACGAAUAAUACCCUAUGAAACUAUCACUUCGCAUGAAGCGAUAGUCAAAGUGUUAGCGGUGUAAGAUGGACUUGCGUCUGAUUAGCUAGUUGGCGAGAAAAAGCCCACCAAGGCAACGAUCAGUAGCCGGCUUGAGAGGGUGUACGGCCACAUUGGGACUGAGACACGGCCCAG
rnacentral:rRNA from 1 species